AAGUCGUAACAAGGUUUCCGUAGGUGAACCUGCGGAAGGAUCAUUAACACGUAUCCAACGUUAAACCCCCCCUGUGAACUUUUAGCACUGCUCUUGCAGCCCGUCUUCCUCCAGCAAUCCCUAGUAAAUCAUGGCGAACAGUUUGAUUUAGGGACUUCUGAGUCACGAGAAAUUACAGUUGCAAUUGUAGCGGUAGUGCAAGCAAUCUCAGCUUCUCCUGGGUCCUUUGGUGAAUUGAAAAGUGUCAUCAGAGAUCGCCGACGAGAAGGCCCUACGGCUUCACUGGAGGACAUCACGUCCGGUGACUAGAUGCUCGGGUCCGGUCGCGAUAAUACGCUUGACCUAAAAAUAAAAACCGAACAACUGUUAACAAUGGAUAUCUUGGUUCUC
rnacentral:misc_RNA from 1 species